AUACGGAGGGGGUUAGCGUUGUUCGGAAUUACUGGGCGUAAAGCGUACGUAGGCGGAUUGGAAAGUAUGGGGUGAAAUCCCAGGGCUCAACCCUGGAACUGCCUCAUAAACUCCCAGUCUAGAGUUCGAGAGAGGUGAGUGGAAUUCCGAGUGUAGAGGUGAAAUUCGUAGAUAUUCGGAGGAACACCAGUGGCGAAGGCGGCUCACUGGCUCGAUACUGACGCUGAGGUACGAAAGUGUGGGGAGCAAACAGGAUUAGAUACCCGAGUAGUCC
rnacentral:rRNA from 1 species